CGCCAGUCCAGACUCCUACGGGAGGCAGCAGUGGGGAAUUUUCCGCAAUGGGCGAAAGCCUGACGGAGCAACGCCGCGUGAGGGAGGAAGGUCUUUGGAUUGUAAACCUCUUUUCUCAAGGAAGAAGUUUCUGACGGUACUUGAGGAAUCAGCCAUCGGCUAACUCCGUGCCAGCAGCCGCGGUAAUACGGGGGAGGCAAGCGUUAUCCGGAAUUAUUGGGCGUAAAGCGUCCGCAGGUGGUCAGCCAAGUCUGCCGUCAAAUCAGGUUGCUUAACGACCUAAAGGCGGUGGAAAC
rnacentral:rRNA from 1 species